ACAUAUAGAGGAAAAGUGCAGAAAUGCACUCCCCGCAAGGUCUCUAUACAGGUGGUGCAUGGUUGUCGUCAGCUCGUGUCGUGAGAUGUUGGGUUAAGUCCCGCAACGAGCGCAACCCUCGUCCUAUGUUGCCAGCACGUUAUGGUGGGAACUCAUGGGAUACUGCCGGGGUCAACUCGGAGGAAGGUGGGGAUGACGUCAAAUCAUCAUGCCCCUUAUGUCUUGGGCUUCACGCAUGCUACAAUGGCCGGUACAGAGGGCUGCAAUACCGCAAGGUGGAGCGAAUCCCAAAAAGCCGGUCUCAGUUCGGAUUGAGGUCUGCAACUCGACCUCAUGAAGUUGGAGUCGCUAGUAAUCGUGGAUCAGCAACGCCACGGUGAAUACGUUCCCGGGUCUUGUACACACGCAAUCGAAUUUCCCGCGGCC
rnacentral:rRNA from 1 species